UUGAUAAGUCAACCGCGCUAAGCUUUUCAUUAGGCUUUGUACGUCUGGUUGGUGAGCCAGUAUUAAGUAAACACAAAUUAUGUAAAUCUAAUAUUUCAACUAAACGUACACCAUUGGAGUCAGUAGUGCCACAACCAAACAUUUGGUGAUGAGAGUUAAAGUCACCCAAUAGAAGGAAUGGACGACUAAGUGAAGAAAGUAAAUUAUUAACGCUAUUGAGAAUUACAAAAGAGGAACGAGCUAGAAAAAUUAAUUGAGUUCCUGACAAGUAAUACUACGCCACCAUGGCCAUGAAAUCUAUCAUCACACAAGCAGGUAUAUCCUGGGAUCCUAAAUAGGUACCCUGGCUUCAACCACGUUUCAGAUAACGCAACAACAACGGGAGAAUGUUUAUUUAUCAAAUAUAUUAAAUCAUGUUUCUUUGGAACAACA